CUCUUGUGCUGAUUUCCCUUGUCGUUGGUUCCUUUGCUUUCAGAAUGCACGAUUGUGGCUUGGACAUUCUCCUGAUUUUGUUUUUUGAUAUCACGCAUGGAGGUUUAUUAUGGUACUCCCUCGGUCCACAAAUAAUCCGUCCACAAAUAAGUGUAUAUUUGGGUUUCAAAUUUGUCCACAAAAGAGUGUCUUCUCACUUUCCAAAACACUUUAGAGUAAGAAAAAAUGUUUCUCUCUCUUUACACCGAAAUCAAAUCCAAUAGCAUUUUUUCAUGCACUUAGCUCAUUGGAGGUGAAAAAAUUAAAGAGGAGACAGAUAGUGGUUGGGACCUUCCCAAUGCAUUUUCUAGCUCAAUGCUGAAUUUUCUUGAAAAACCACAAACGUACACUCUUUUGCGGACGGAGGGAGUAGAUCUCAAGUGUUUUUUCCUCUAUUUUUUUUCCUGGCUGUAAAUUGUGCUUCCAAUUUUUUCAUGAACAAUAUACAUGCAUCCAGUCGACCAGUAAGAGUUCUAUCAUUAUGACAUCUUCAGUCAGAGGGCAUUAUUGUGCUUGUUUUAAUUGAGUUAUGGCAUAAGUUUAUUCAGUUUGAUUGGCUUGUCAUGGAACUGAACUUUGGAACCAAACCAAUCAAUCAUAGCCAAUGUAAAUUAACAACUAUUUGACUAUUGGCUACAAACCAAAUGGAAGCCAUCUGUUUUGCCAAUUUUUGGCAGGUUUCAUUGGCUACAAUCCAAACAACCUCUACUUGCCAAUAAUUCACUAAACUGUUGUACGCAAGUACGCAAUACAUUUUCGUAUGUUUAAUAUUAGUAGCAUCUUCUUGCGUUGUCUUCUGUUUUAAUGCUGCCUUUGAUUUAGUAGUAGUUAAUGAUUUAUUACAUGCGCGAAUUCGAUCCAGUUUACUUGGGCAUGGAUGGCAUGGAUGAUGAUUAAAAAUAAUUUGGUAUAGUUCAUAUGUAAGCCUGAUGAUUAGACAGACAUCACAAUAGGAAUCGAUUUUAUUGACAACAUCUUCAAAUUGUUCAUGAUAGCUAAUUGAUAUUUCUCUGUGGAUGAUUUAUGCUUUGCAAAAGUGGCAGCACAUUUUUUAUGUAGUUCAAUUCAUACAAUUGUUGUGUUCAUACGAUCAUCUGAAAACCAAUUACAAUAUUCCUUUGAUCUCAACUGGUAUAAAUACAAUAUUGUUGCUCUUCCAUGUGCAUUACAAUGUUUUUUGCUCUUCCAUGUGCUACUAAAAGAGAUAAUGGUGCCCAUUUCUAUGAGGAGGUGCGGUUCUUGGGUUGAUUUCAUUUUGUUAUCUUUAGCUUGUACUGCUCAGGAAGACACCUGUUUUCUGAUGUUUCAGAAACUUUGCAAGUGGCUUGUGCACUUCCUUAUGGCUGCUCUUGAUUACUUUCAUCAAAAUCAUGCUCUUCACCGAGAUGUGAAAGUCAGUAAAAGUGCUCCAUUUGGAGCAUGUGAUUAUCUUUCUAACAUGCGUGUUGUAAUAAUGUGCACUAAAGCUGCUAAUUCGUGUGGUACCAGCGGAGCAAAAGCAAGAGGAUGCAAAAAAGUUAUUAUACUAUAGCAGCAUGAAGUGGCCCUGAUCACCAUGGUACCGGUGGUUUCUUCUUUUUGUCUCUUUUCUAGGUUCCCCCACUUUAUUUUGCAUGUUCUUCUCGCAGGUUUGUGAAAAUCAUCCAGAAUGAGAUGUAUGAAAUCAAAAAUGGUGUGUUCUUACAUUAACUCACUCGGCCGUUUUGUUCUCCAGUCCAAAAACAACUACCAGUCCAAGAAGAAAAUUUCAAAUUAUAAAUUAAUGGCACCUAAUAUAUAUCACGCUGCCAAUCUGAGUCUUGUUCGUACUCUAACCGCCUGUCUGCACCCGCACGCGGCUGCCGGCGACGUAGGUCAUAAUCAUGGACAACUACUACCCCGUUCCUCAUUUGCUCCCAGGGUGUUGUGUACUGUGAGUUCGUGGUCGUGCACUACCAUGUGAUCUCCCAUCCUAUUUUAAAUCUGUAACAUGUUCUAUUCUGUAAAUAAAUAGGCAUGACUAGCACCUGAAACAUUCUUUCACACCUGAAACAUUCUUUCAUUUGCAUAAGCUCGGAUGAAGAUUGCUCUUGGAGUUGCCUAUGCUCUGGAGUAAUAUAGUUUGUGAAGCCUCUGAAGAAAAAGAAGGUUAUUAAUUUUUGCUUCCAGUCGUCAUAUGUUUUCUAAGAUUUUACCUUAUGUUUCUCUGAAUUUUGUUUGAAUUGAUUCUGUGUAUAUCAUAGAUGAUUUAGUAGUCCCCAAUGUCAUAGAUAGUUUAUUGGACUUCUACUCAAUUCGUUUGCAGUUACUGAAUAUAUUUAUCUUUGAUUUUCUCGAGAACUGAAGUCGUAUAAAUUCUGCCUUUAGGUGGCAACUGCAACUGCCUUACUCUGCUUUAAGCUUUCAGUGUUUCUGGCAACUUUGAAAUUCCUGUUGCAGCACAGGAGCUUGGCAAGUCUGGAAAGUUUGAUACGAUUUUGUGCAUCGGGGCUGUGAGAGAUGGUAUCUCAUUGAAGCUAGCUGGUGAUGUUCUUCAGCAUUCUGUGUGACUGUAUAAACCAUCUAGGGCAGCAGCAGCAGGAGGAAACUUCUGUGCUUAUGCUUGCCAUCUUCUCUUGCUAUGAUUUGUAGAAAAGGGUAGAUAAAUUGACGAGACAUGAGAGAAUGUGCUUGCUUUUUUGCAUUUUUCAGACUAUUUUUUGUAUCGGUUUUGCUAUUUCUAAAAAGACUGAGUAUUUCUAAGUCGAUGCUAACAUCCAUCUUAUCCGAUC